GACGAACGCUGGCGGCGUGCUUAACACAUGCAAGUCGAACGGAAAGGCCCUGCUUUUGUGGGGUGCUCGAGUGGCGAACGGGUGAGUAACACGUGAGUAACCUGCCCUUGACUUUGGGAUAACUUCAGGAAACUGGGGCUAAUACCGGAUAGGAGCUCCUGCUGCAUGGUGGGGGUUGGAAAGUUUCGGCGGUUGGGGAUGGACUCGCGGCUUAUCCGCUUGUUGGUGGGGUAGUGGCUUACCAAGGCUUUGACGGGUAGCCGGCCUGGGAGGGUGACCGGCCACAUUGCGACUGAGAUACGGCCCAGACUCCUACGGGAGGCAGCAGUGGGGAAUAUUGCACAAUGGGCGGAAGCCUGAUGCAGCAACGCCGCGUGCGGGAUGACGGCCUUCGGGUUGUAAACCGCUUUCGCCUGUGACGAAGCGUGAGUGACGGUAAUGGGUAAAGAAGCACCGGCUAACUACGUG
rnacentral:rRNA from 1 species